GAUGAACGCUGGCGGCGUGCCUAAUACAUGCAAGUCGAGCGAACGGACGAGAAGCUUGCUUUUCUGAUGUUAGCGGCGGACGGGUGAGUAACACGUGGAUAACCUACCUAUAAGACUGGGAUAACUUCGGGAAACCGGAGCUAAUACCGGAUAAUAUUUUGAACCGCAUGGUUCAAAAGUGAAAGACGGUCUUGCUGUCACUUAUAGAUGGAUCCGCGCUGCAUUAGCUAGUUGGUAAGGUAACGGCUUACCAAGGCAACGAUGCAUAGCCGACCUGAGAGGGUGAUCGGCCACACUGGAACUGAGACACGGUCCAGACUCCUACGGGAGGCAGCAGUAGGGAAUCUUCCGCAAUGGGCGAAAGCCUGACGGAGCAACGCCGCGUGAGUGAUGAAGGUCUUCGGAUCGUAAAACUCUGUUAUUAGGGAAGAACAUAUGUGUAAGUAACUGUGCGCAUCUUGACGGUACCUAAUCAGAAAGCCACAGCUAACUACGUG
rnacentral:rRNA from 1 species